GAUGAAGAACGUAGCGAAAUGCGAUAAGUAGUGUGAAUUGCAGAAUUCAGUGAAUCAUCGAAUCUUUGAACGCACAUUGCGCCCCUUGGUAUUCCAUGGGGCAUGCCUGUUCGAGCGUCAUUUACACCCUCAAGCUCUGCUUGGUGUUGGGCGUCUGCCCCGCUGCUUUGCGCGGACUCGCCUCAAAGGUAUUGGCAGCGAUCAUGCCAGCUUCUCGCGCAGCACAUUGCGCUUCUUGAAGUUCUGGUGGAUCAGCGUCCAUUAAGCUUACCUUCAUGACUUGACCUCGGAUCAGGUAGGGAUACCCGCUGAACUUAAGCAUAUCAAUAAGCGGAGGA
rnacentral:misc_RNA from 1 species